UACAGAGACCUCAAGCGUUAUCCGGAAUCAUUGGGCGUAAAGCGUACCGAUAGGUUGUUUUACAAGUCAGGGGUGAAAUCUCAAGGCUCAACUUUGAGACUGUCUCUUGAAACUGUAAAACUAGAGGGGUAAAGAGGAAGCUGGAACGAACGGUGUAGUAGUGAAAUGCGUUGAUAUCGUUCGGAACACCGAUAGCGAAGGCAGGCUUCUGGGUACCACCUGACACUGCUAGGACGAAAGCGUGGGAGGCGAAUGGG
rnacentral:rRNA from 1 species